rnacentral:tRNA from 1 species
GGAGAGUACAGCUUAGUGGCAGAGUAUGUGCUUAGCAUGCACUAAGUCCUGGGUUCAAUCCUCAGUACCGCCA